GUAACAUAGAUCGCCAAAUCAAUUCUUUUUAAACAUCUCUGCAUGCACCACCAUAUUCCUCAAAUCGGGGUGUUGCACCUCUACACACGGUAAAACACAAACUUUGGUUUGUUUUCGCCGAUAAGCCAUUCCGAUUUCUUCUACUGCAUUGUUUCGUCCUGCCGGAGAUAACCUCCUACCCACUUCCAAAUGUGUGUUACUCGGGACCUUAUCAUGUUCAUGUCCAUAGCUAACCUUUUUAGGGACAAACUUCUUUGACCCAACUGUAUGGACAUUGGUGCAUCUUUUGGUCCCCAUUCACCAACUCCAUGCACCCUUUCACCAUUAUAUGUUGCAUUGGUUCGUCCUAUCGGGGAUAACUUGCUUUAUACUCUGAACGAUGUUACUCUUGUCAUGUUCAUCUCCAUUGCUUAAAACACACGAAAGACAUACUUCCUCGACCCAUAUGGAUGGUCAUUGUCCCAAAGUCUGGUCCACUGCCCCCCACCCAUUCACCAACAUCUGCUGCAUUGUUUCGUCUUAUCGAGGACAAUAUGCCUCCUAAUCCGACUGUUGUGUUACGCAUAACCUGCUCAUGUCCAUAGUUACCGCCAUCGUCCUCUAUAUCAUCUUCUCAUCCAUCUUCAUCAGUAGACCAACUAGAUACUCUUUUUCAAUCAAUUUUCUCAUGUUGUCAAAAUCAUAAUCUUCUGACUUUUCAUCACUCACCACCGUUUCUUCGGAAUCAUCUCUAGUAGCCUCCAACACACCUCCACUAAUUCGGAAUCAUCUCUUUCACGUUUUCGGUUAGUAGUUCUCGUUACAAUGUCCUUCUUCCUGUAAACAUCAUCUAUCUCAUCUACUUCUUCCAAAAAUCCCACCUCCUCAUACGUCAAUGGGAGACACUCAUUACCAUCCUUUUUCCCCGAACCAUCUGGUUAGUUGCCUUUUGUUCCGCAUCCACUAUCGCUACAGCUCUUACAACGUUCUGAUCAAAACUACAGCUUCCGCCUGGUCUUACCGCCACAAGCAAUUCUUCCUUGUCUUCUGCUAAAAUUAAAUACAUGUUCAUCCCCCUCUAACCUUAUAUUUUUGAAUUUUGACAAUGCAAUCUCGCUAUCCACCGAAACAGAUGGCAUCUUUUAAUACGUAAACACCGUUUCUCCCCCUUCGUACCAAAAACUGAGCUCAAUUUUCGUUCUCUUCGUGUCAAUCCCAAACACUUUCGCGAUUUUCUUUUCCAAAUCUAUAAACUUGUCUUCUUCUUCUAGAUCCACACACUUUGCAUAUUUCAUGUCCGACACCUGAAAACGCCAAAUACCACCCUCUUUACAUUCCCAUUCACCGACCAGUACCAUAACAUAUUCGUCCAUUGAAACAUGUCCACGCAAACGACAAGCAAGCAUUAGUUUAAAUUUUCCGUACCAUUUACAAAUCGUAUUGUUGCAUUUAUAACACUCAACCAACAUAACGGUUUUUAAAAAUCGUUACCUCAUUUCGUCUAAUGUCCCUCUCGCAACCACCACACUUCAAUUUUGUCUUGCAUAAACACUCUUAAAGUUUAAAUAAAUUCUCCAAUUUUCAGAUAUGAAUUUGCACAACCUCUAGUCACGUCUUUAAUAAUUAAUGGCCUAAACUUACUCUAUUAACUUAAUGCUUUACAUUUUUUUAAUCAGUUAAUUCAUUGUCUCCAUUAAAUGUCGAUGCUCCCCAUUUUCCCUCCAUCAGUUUCUACUAUCCUUUUCCUAACACACAUAUGACGCAACAAUUAAGGAAAAAAAAGUUUUAUUAUACCACACAAAUGUGGCAUAUACGAAAAGAAAUAAUCAGAAAUGGUAGAAAUGAAAAGCUUUUGAGAAAAAAUGGUAGAUAUGACUAAAUUCCAAAUAAAAAAGAGAUUUGCCUAGAAUGACUCUAAUCUUUACUAAAAUAACUCAAAUAACACCCGGUUGAUUUGGUUUACUAGAAUAACUCAUAUUUUUGUUAAAAAGUCUGAAAAACCUUUUUGGGUAACAAAAUUCACCAUCAUGCCAUUCAUUAUUUAAAUAAAUCAAAAAGCAAAAAUAAAACAAUUAACCAAAUAAAGAAGCAUUAUUACAUUUUCUAAAAAUAAAAAAAACAUAUCGACAUUCCCUUUAUUCUUCUUCAUCGUCGCAGACGAUUCCAAAAACACAAAAAACUCUACCUUUCUUUUUCAGUCGCCAUCGAAUCUCUUUGUCUCGUUUACCGGAUGCAUGUCAAAAUCUGGCCUCGCCGUCGAGUCUCCGUCAAUCGUACUUGAUUCUGUUGUUUGAGUGACCGGCGUUAGAGAUCUGUGUCGAUUCGUCGUUGGUUUCAUUUGGCUUCGUUCUAGAUCUUUAUCCUUCCAGCGAUUGUUAGUUCGUUAUUGGAACAAGAAAUUAGGGCAAUUUCAUCAGAUUAGUUAUCUCUAUCCUCUGUUGCAUAUGCGGCUUAACCGUUAAUUAUUCCGGUGCGUAAGAAGAGCUAUGCAAGGUUGGGAGUUAAGAGAAUUUCAAACGUCCCUGAGAAUGACGAUGCAGGCGAUUGUGCUAUCUACUCGAUAAAGUACAUCGAAUGUUUGGCGCUUAGGCAGUCAUUCGAUGGCUUGUGUGACAAGAACAUGCAGGCCCUCAGGACUAAACUUGCUGCGAAGAUGUUUGACGAAUUAGGAGAGUAUGCCGGAACACUUAACUCUGAUAUUCGUCGCAAGGACUUCCCUAUACCUCAGCUCGAUGAUUCCUAGAAGCUUUGUUUUUGUUAUCUUAGCCUUUUUUAUUUAGGUUAUCUCAGACUUUUGUAUGUCUGUUAUUUCAGACUUUUGCUUUUUUUGAAGCUUUGUCUAUAUGUUGGUUGUUUCAGCUCCGAGAGACUUUUUUUCGUUUGGCCCAAAAAAGACUGAAACUGUCUAUUGUUACCAAUAAUUACGGGUGGUAUAUCUGCUGGUAAUUUCUUCGAAUUUGAGAUCUUGUAACUCAAAACAACUUCGACUACCCUGUUAUCCAA